GACGAACGCUGGCGGCGUGCUUAACACAUGCAAGUCGAACGGAAAGGCCCUGCUUUUGCUGGGUGCUCGAGUGGCGAACGGGUGAGUAACACGUGAGUACCCUGACCUUGACUUUGGGAUAACGUCAGGAAACUGGGGCUAAUACUGGCUAGGAGCUCCUGCUGCUUGUUGGGGGUUGGAAAGUUUCGGCGGUUGGGGAUGGACUCGCGGCUUAUCAGCCUGUUGGUGGGGUAGUGGCUUACCAAGGUUUCGACGGGUAGCCGGCCUGAGAGGGUGACCGGCCACAUUGGGACUGGGAAACGGCCCGGAGCCCUACGGGAGGCAUCAGUGGGGGAUAUUGCACAAUGGGCGGAAGCCUGAUGCAGCAACGCCGCGUGGUGGAUGACUGCCGUCGGGUUGGAAACCGCUUUCGCCUGUGACGAAGCGUGAGUGACGGUAAUGGGUAAAGAAGCACCGGCUAACUACGUG
rnacentral:rRNA from 1 species